UACGUAGGGAGCAAGCGUUGUUCGGAUUUACUGGGCGUAAAGGGCGCGUAGGCGGCGCGGUAAGUCACUUGUGAAAUCUCUGAGCUUAACUCAGAACGGCCCAAGUGAUACUGCAGUGCUAGAGUGCAGAAAGGGCAAUCGGAAUUCUUGGUGUAGCGGUGAAAUGCGUAGAUAUCUGGAGGAACACCGGUGGCGAAGGCGACAUCCUGGACCGGUAUUGACGCUGAGGCGCGAAAGCCAGGGGA
rnacentral:rRNA from 1 species